AAGUCGUAACAAGGUUUCCGUAGGUGAACCUGCGGAAGGAUCAUUAUCGUGGAGCUUCGGCUCCUUCGAGGGAGAACCCUUGCCUUUUCGAGCACCUGUUUGUUUCCUCGGCAGGCCCGCCUGCCAACGGGGACCAUUUAAACUCUUGCAAUCAACCUGAACAAAAUCGUCUGAACAAAAAAAAACUAAAUCAAAACUUUCAACAACGGAUCUCUUGGUUCUG
rnacentral:misc_RNA from 1 species